UCGUGCACAACGGGAUUACACACAGAGGGAAGGACAGCUGACUUGACCACUUCGGUGAGUGCCAAUCCCUGGGGUCCAGAAAGCCCCAAGGGGCUUGGACCAGGAAGCUCUUCUGUUUGGCAGAUAUUCUAGGUUGCCUGAGGUCCCACUUCAGUGACCUGGAGUUAUCAUGUCCUCUCUAGUCGCCACUACGAGCUAAACUACAUGUGGACCCUGUGAAGCUGCAUGCAAGGUCAAAAUGCAUGGUCUCUGGCAGAGAACACAAAAAUGAAACAGAGGAGCUCAGUUAAUUACGUUAAGGGACAUCCACCUUGGCAGCAUAAUCAGCUCGGGAUCAGUCAGACUUAAAUUACAUUGUAAUAAUCUGCAGUUUGUUUUCGUAUCACCACUUGAAAAAAUGAAGAAACAUGUUUUGAACUUCACAAUAGUGUGGAAUGGAUUCAGUUUAGUGCAUCAAAAACACCCAGUUACUUUAUCUCAGACAGCUUUUAAAUCUGAUUGGGUGCAGAUACAGUAAAAGGCUGAUCUGAACAAAGCAACAAGCAAGUUGUUGAUGGUCAUUUCCCAAGUUGGAAUGAUCAGAAAAAGCAUGGUGGAUGUGGGACAGUAUGUAGAUAUGUGUAUGGUGAGUUGAAAAAAUGGGAAGUCUAAAGGAAAGGGAAUUUUAAGGGCAUCCAACCCAUCUGACAUAUACAACUAUGAGGAUUGUUGGUUCUGAAAAACCCGGGAAUCUAUUAAAUGAUGUUUCUGAGUGUUAAUUGCCAAUGUUUUUAAUGUAAUGCCUCUCUCUCCUAUGUUGUCCUCCUGCUGAACCUUUGAAUCAGCUUUUGGCACAGUAAACCAUCAGACCCUCCUCUCCAUUCUCCAAGAACUGGAAGUGUCAGACCCAUCAAUCUCCCUGUUCAAAUCCUACCUCAAAGGCCAAACUCACAGGGUAAUUUUUAGAAGAUCUAUGUCUGAACCUUCUAACCUCACUACCGGGGAACCUCUGGGUUCUGUCAUAUGUGUCAUCCUCUUUUCUCUGUACAAGUUACUGGGCUCUCUUAUUCACUCAAGUGGCUUUUCAUUCUACAGCGAUGCAAGUGACAAACUAAUUCUGUCCUUUCCAUGGUCUGAAAACCCAGGUAGCUGACAUCUCUCAGUGGAUGUUGACACCCCCUGAAGCUCUUUCGGGGCAAGACUGAACUGCUCUUAUUUCCAGGGAAGACAUCCCACAUCCACAACCUUUCCAUUAGCAUGGAGAACUCUGUGUUAUCUGCAACUUGGACUGCAAGGAACCUGGGUGUGGCACUGGAUGACAAGCUGUCAUUUGCUUCCAAUAUUGAUGUGAUAACGCGCAUCUGCUUAUCACCACAACAUUGGAAGAAUAGUUUUUUUCCUUACCCAGAAGGCGAUACAUUGUUCUCCCCCACUACACUGCUCCUCCACACACUGCACUGUCUACCGGUGGAUGCUCGAGUCCAAUCAAAGUCACUGGUUCUUAACUUUGAUUAAUUUUAUGUAUUUGCAUGAUUCUAGCAAUUUUUGGGUGGCAUCUUCAUGGGUAAAUGCACUUAUUGUAAGUCCCUUUGGACAAAAGCAUUAACUAUAUGAAUGUAACAAAAUGUAAUUCAUAUAACUAUACCUGACAACUACAGUGUGGUAAACUCUCCCAUAGCUUUUAUUCAUUCAUGAGCAGAUAUAACUGUCUAAACAUAAUAACAAAUUCAGCAAUAACAAACAAAUGUUCCAAAAACAAUUUAAGGAAUGAAGAGAAAUACGAUACAUAUUGUUUUAUGUAUUUCAUUGUAUGUAUAUCUAUUCAUUUAAUAAAUCGUAAUUACAUGCAGAAAAUCACAAUCACUAACGUGAAUGAAUGUACCUUCAACAGAAGUGCCUCUUCUGCCAGCUGACCCCCUGGAGACUAUUUUCAUGUGACCUGUAAGGGAAGAUAAACUCUGCCAAUGCUCCCACCCCCAAGCUAUGAUUGGACACUUGAUUGGAUUUUCAUUUUAGGUUGGUAGAUGCAUUUCAAUUUCAAAAA